AUGAAAUUGAGCAGGAUCUGUUCUAUAGGCUCGUGCCUCUAUAUCCUUGAGAUGUAAGGAGACAGGAAACCUAGAUUUGAUGGAUGUAUUAGGACCGUGAGAUCAGAAUCUGAUCCCAUGAUCUGGGUCUCCUCAGCAGUAAAGGAUCGUUCUCAGACUGAAUCAUUGUCGAUUUGAUGGCUGAGAUGAUCUUAUGGUUGUAUGACUGACA
rnacentral:snoRNA from 1 species